rnacentral:ncRNA from 1 species
GCCAUAUGACUGACGGAAGUGGAAGUGACCACGGGGAGUAUGGUGUUUGUGAGCCGACCGUCUGGGCAU